CGGGCUGUAGCGCAGCUUGGUAGCGCGCUUCGUUCGGGACGAAGAGGUCGUGGGUUCGAAUCCCGCCAGCCCGACC
rnacentral:tRNA from 1 species